rnacentral:rRNA from 1 species
GACGAACGCUGGCGGCGUGCCUAAUACAUGCAAGUAGAACGCACAGUUUAUACCGUAGCUUGCUACACCAUAGACUGUGAGUUGCGAACGGGUGAGUAACGCGUAGGUAACCUGCCUGGUAGCGGGGAAUAAGUUUGGAAAACGAAACCUAAAACCCUAUAAUAUUAAUUAUGGAAGGUAAAUUGAUGGAAGGAGGUUAUUGAAUCCCAACAAGAGGAACUUGCGUGGUAUUAGUUCGUAGGUGAGCUAACGGCUCACCUAGCCAACGAUACAUAGGCGACCUGAGUGGCUGUUCGGCCACACUGGGACGGCGACACGGCCCAGACUCCUACGGGAGGCACCAGAAGGGAAGCUUCGGCAAUGGACGAAAGUCUGGCCGAGCAAGGCCGCGUGAGUGCAGACGGUUCUCUGAUCGUAAAGCUCUGUUGUAAGAGAAGAACGGGUGUGAGACUUGAAAGUUCACUAUGUGACGGUAUCUGACCAGAAAGGGACGGCUAACUACGUG